rnacentral:lncRNA from 1 species
UUAAAAGGGGGAUAUGGGCCCUAAAGUGUGUGACGAAUCAUGUACAGACAGAACUCAUGAUUUUGUGGAUACGGGCAGACUAUCUCUGGAAGGAUACAGAAGAAAUGAGGAAAAGCCUCUUGAGGAAUGACUUGCAGACUGACCCCAGGCAGUCUGGUGGGGAAGGCCAGGGUCAGGUUCCACUUUCUGGAAUGUUCUCAUGACCCAGGACGUGGUUAAGAGACUCCUUUAGGCAGAGGACAGGCAGGUGGAGGGCUGUGUGCAUCCCAGUGUCUCUUCUGUCUCCUGCCACCCGGAUAAGCCAAUUCUAGCAUGCAACUUGUCUGUGAGUAUCCUCAUUUAUCCUCACUUCCUCUGCCCCUCAGGACCAAACCGUGUGCAGAGUAGCUUCCAUCACCC